GAUGAACGCUGACAGAAUGCUUAACACAUGCAAGUCAACUUGAAUUUGGGUUUUUAACUUAGGUUUGGGUGGCGGACGGGUGAGUAACGCGUAAAGAACUUGCCUCACAGCUAGGGACAACAUUUGGAAACGAAUGCUAAUACCUAAUAUUAUGAUAAUAGGGCAUCCUAUAAUUAUGAAAGCUAUAAGCGCUGUGAGAGAGCUUUGCGUCCCAUUAGCUAGUUGGAGAGGUAACGGCUCACCAAGGCGAUGAUGGGUAGCCGGCCUGAGAGGGUGAUCGGCCACAAGGGGACUGAGACACGGCCCUUACUCCUACGGGAGGCAGCAGUGGGGAAUAUUGGACAAUGGACCGAGAGUCUGAUCCAGCAAUUCUGUGUGCACGAUGAAGUUUUUCGGAAUGUAAAGUGCUUUCAGUUGGGAAGAAACAAAUGACGGUACCAACAGAAGAAGUGACAGCUAAAUACGUG
rnacentral:rRNA from 1 species